rnacentral:rRNA from 1 species
AUGGUCGAAGGCUCGGACUCGGACAUCGCAAGCCUGAAAUUCCUCCUCCUUUGCUUCCAACAAAUGUCUAGUCUUAAGAUCAACUUCGACAAAAGUGAUGUGAUGGUAAUGGGCUACUCUCCGGCUGAGGCCCUUGGCAUCGCCAACCGCCUCAACUGCCGCCUAGGUUCCUUCCCAAUGACCUACUUGGGAACACCCAUUAGUGACUCCCGACUCACUGUGUCGGAUCUUCGCCCUACGGUUACCAAGUUGCAAACGCGCAUGGAGCCUUGGCAAGGUCGAUGGCUCUCGAAGGCGGCCCGGACGAUUCUCAUCAACUCCUCACUUUCUAGUCUCCUCCUAUUCCUUAUGAGCUUCUACAGCCUCCACGAGAUCCUCCAUCAUGAGAUCACUACAAUUCAAUCUCGCUUCUAUUGGGCUAGGGACAAUAACAGGCAGAAGUAUCAUAUGGUUAGCUGGCCCGACAUCUGCAAGCCCCGGGACCAGGGAGGCCUUGGCAUCAUGUGCUCGAAGCGCAUGAACAUCGCCCUCCUUUCCCGCUGGCUCUGGCGGGCAUGGCGGUCUGUGGCUAGACAUCAUCCGGAAUAA